rnacentral:sRNA from 1 species
AGAGAGAAAAGACUGCGAGGUGGCCGCAGCUGUGGCCGGAGAGGUGGGAGUCGGAGCGAGGCCCUCUCGGGGGAGCAGGGUGAACGCCGGCCACUCUAGGAUCCUCACUCGGGGAGAGGAGGCAUAGCUGGCGGUGUCACCUCCAGUCGCAACGUACUCCGGCACAAAGAAUGAACCAGCAGUGGAAGAGAAAAUACUGUAAGCUGGCUGACUGCUGGUGAAGAAAAUGCUUUAUUUUUGUGGCAGGCAUCUGUGGGAUCUGUAAUAGAAAUGAUGGCUGGCUGUGGUGAAAUUGAUCAUUCAAUAAACAUGCUUCCUACAAACAGGAAAGCGAACGAGUCCUGUUCUAAUACUGCACCUUCUUUAACCGUCCCUGAAUGUGCCAUUUGUCUGCAAACAUGUGUUCAUCCAGUCAGUCUGCCCUGUAAGCACGUUUUCUGCUAUCUAUGUGUAAAAGGAGCUUCAUGGCUUGGAAAGCGGUGUGCUCUUUGUCGACAAGAAAUUCCCGAGGAUUUCCUUGACAAGCCAACCUUGUUGUCACCAGAAGAACUCAAGGCAGCAAGUAGAGGAAAUGGUGAAUAUGCAUGGUAUUAUGAAGGAAGAAAUGGGU